AAUGGCAAAGUUUAUCUUAUCGCGUGCAAAGGCUUAUGUACUACCACGUUUCCUAAUGACAAAUACUUCUUCGCUUCGUAUCUGGAUAGAUGUAGUAAAUACGAAAAAUUAGCGGAAACUCGAAGAAAGGAGAUAGUAGCUGCUAAUAUUCAUGUGUCACCAAUGGUGGAAUCUAUACCUUUAAAAUCUAAAGAUAAGCAUAAAGAUAAAUCUAUGGAUAGAGAUAGACAUAGAGGAAAAAAUAUCAGAGGAAAGAUAAGAUUGAAAAAACAAGAGAAGUUGAAAGACAUUCCAAGAAAAUCUAGACCAAAAAAAUUGAGUCAACGUGAUAGUCCAUUUGUCGAUGAUCUUGAGUUAUUCGAAGCAGAGAAACAUUAUUUCCUUACGAUGAGAACGG
rnacentral:lncRNA from 1 species